AAAAAAAGCUGUGGCCGACAGGCCACAGUUUUUUUUUUUUAUGUUUGAAAGAAGUGGCCCGUGGGCCACUUCUUCCUUGAAACCACGCGAGGCGUUGUGGUUCCGAAAAAAAAAAAAAUCGUGCUCCGUACCGGCCGGUUCGCAGAUGAAAACUGAAAAAUACCGGUUUCAUCUGUUUCCGGUACCGGUCAAGGACUGGACCGGUAUGUACCGGCCCGUACGUGCCGGUGCGGCAUUCCUUGAUCCGAAUGUUAACACUUCCUCCUGCACUACUUUCUAACCCCAUGCUUCUGAGCUUUAUGCACAUCGACCUUUUCAUUCUCAUCCUUGUAGAUGCAAUAUUUCUACAUUUCAUCUACCAUAUUAUUUAUAUUUGUUUAUUAUAUUCUUCCAUAUAAUAGAUUUUUUCUCUCUUUAAUGAAAUUUAGAUUUUCAGAGGAUUUUGUUCGAUUCCGUUUAGUAUGACCUUUGAUUCUCUUAUUAAGAUAGAUGUAUAGGCAUCUAUGAAUUUAAUAUUGAAGUAAUGUAAAAGAAGAAAUUCUUUUCCCCCCUUUUUCUCCAGACUAGUGGUGGAACACCACUAAUUAAAUCUUUUGAGUCAGACUCUUGGGAAAGACUUCUUAAGGUUAGGGGCUAGAACCUCCUCGCAAGUGGGGGAUUCAAGCACUAGGACCCAGUUUGUGUGAAAUAAGUAACUCUUAGCAAAAGCAUUUGUCAGUCCAAAUGUAGUCCUAUCUCUCAUUAUCCAACUUAUAUAAAACUUCCAAGUUUAACCUCAAUGUAGGUCUUAAUUUUGCCAAUUUCUUUGACAGGAUCUCCUUUUCAUAUGGGUGCAUGUAAAACUACCUCCAUCAGAAUGCCAAUUUUCCUUUUCCCACUUGUGCAAUAUAAAUAUGAUCUCCCUAAAAGUUAUGUAGCUUUGUCUCAUGCUGACCUAUGAAAAGCCUUGGAACCAUACCCACCCCAUCAACUGAGAAUUAUGUCUAUGACCUACUUCGUUGGCGCAUAUUAUAUUAAUCAUGUUAAGAGGAAUUUAUUAUUAAUAAAUUAAUGAAACUACUGAUAGAUACUUGAUAAGAAUAUCUUAUCCUCUCAAUCAUUACAACUAGCUUUGAGAUGUAAAUUUUAUUUUCCUCCUUGCUAUUUUACAUUUGCUGGAGAACCUAUAAAUAAGCUGGUGAAAGUUAAAACAAUAAUCUUUGACCUGGUUUAAGGUUGGAGCUUUUGAUUGUAGGGUUGCAUUCAGAAGGGAGAUUAGUUUAAGUUGGUAGAUAAGGUAAAAUUUUCGGAGUGGCUGAGGUGUGAUCCUACUCGUAUGAAAGAUUCUGGGUUUUAUGUUUUUAUCUUACAAUGAUUCUCCAGUACAUGAUUCCUCUGUUAUAACAGGGAAUAAGGAUGUCUGGUAUUCAUCUUCCUUUAAAUGACACUUAGGAAUUAUGAAAGUGGUGACUUAACCUUCUUUCUAGUGCUAUAUAAGGGCAUAUGUACUUUCACAGGAAGAACUCAAGUUUGACAUGCUGUAUAAUAGAAAAGGAUGAGCUUCCACAGUACAUUGAUAUAGUUAGAUACAAGUUAAGGGAUUUUGCAUGUCCUUUUACCAGGGUUUGAUGAACGAAAUCAAAUUGAUGAAUAGUUGUGCUUUAAUAUUCGGUUGUCUUUCUUUCUGUUGGUUGAUAUUUCUUGAGCAUUCAAAAUUAGGAGUCCAUUGGACCAUGGGAAAAAAGGUAGUUAUUGGCCUGUGGUCUUUGGUGAGAUCCCAACAUGUGGAUAUCAUUUAAAAAAGGGUAGAAAAUAGACAAAGCUUGUGUAAAAGGAUCAGGACAAGUUUUCGGCCCUAAAUGCAAAAACCCAUGGGUGGAAUGGCUUGAGCUCGUAUUUUUGCUUUCUACUUGUCAUGAGUAAGAUUUGUAUACUUAUUUCAGAUUCAUUUUCAGCCGAGCAAGAUGAACUUCACUUCGAUAACUUCAAUGGUUUGGGCUCUAGUUUUGGCAGUUUUGUUAAAAAGAUCCAGUUAAGCUUAUGAUAUGUAAAUUGUGGAGAAAAAUAAAAUGAGGCGAGUUAAUGUACUAUGUGCAAUUUAAAAUUAUAUUUAUAUUGUUUGGGACCUUUGCAUGUAUUAUUUUGGCAGUCUUGCACUGAAACAAGCUUUUUAACUGUUCACAUGACCUUGUUAAAGUUGAAUUUGAUGGAAACAGUAUGGAACAUAUGAAUAUGAAUGUCUAUGAGAUCUUCCUUCAUUGUAAUUUAGCCUCUCUUUAAUAAAAUUGGGUCACUUUUUUCCUCCCUUUUCAUCAAAAGCAAAAACUAUGAAUAUCUGUGAAAUUUGAGCUCUUGGAUAUUUUGCCCAUGUUAGAAGAUCGCUUUUCCUUUAAGUCUCUUUUGAAUUUAAUGUUCGGUGCUUCCAAAUUGUCUCCGAACUUGAAAAAUCUAGAUUAAUGCUUUUUGACAUCUGAAGAAUUCAAGAAAACGAUACCAUUGUCAGAACCUUACAUAUGGCAAACUUGAUAUAAGUCAGUUUGGUAGAAAACAGACCUCAGUUGCACUAGCUUCAGCUUGAUAUUGAAUUGUUUCCGUCAAGUGUGGAUUUCUGGAGAAAAUUCAAAACCAUGGAUGGGAGUUUUUUCCUCCAAGGAAGAUUCCAUGUACUAUACUGCUCUGUGGUUUUGGAGGAAAUCUGAUAUAGGCACUUAGAUGACAUAUAAUGUGUUAAGAGGAUCUGCAAAAAUGUUUAUGCUGCAAUUAGAAUUGUUAAAAUGGAUAAAGUGAGCUCUUUAGUGUUGGCUCUUUCUUGCCGGAAUCUUUCCCCAUAAGUAUUUUUUUUUUCACUUUCAGUCUGAGCUUCCAAAAUUGGGUCUCAGUUGGUCAAAUUCACUUAUGGGUGAGUUCAUGCUAAUCUUCUGUCAUUUCUUCACCUUUUCCAGUCCCAAGAAGUAUUUCCUGAAGAAUAGCUUGAAAUUGUGAAUUUCGAGGCCUUGUUUGGAUUCUAAAGAAUUUUAGACAAGUAAAUAUUUUGGCAUAGGCUCUGCUAUCCUAUAACUUCCCCUCCAUUUCUUCAAAUACUUCAGUACCCUGUCAUACUGAGCUUAGUAUUUGAAACCACUCUUCUCUUGUUUUUGUUCAUCAAUUGUGCAGUUGUAACAAAUUUUUCUGUUUCUUCUUUCCUUUAACAAUCUUUAUUCUCUUUUCAUGUCAACACUACUACAAAACUGAAACAGAAAAAUGAGGAUUGCUUUUUUAGGGAAUCUAUCUUGCUUUUUUUUUUUUUUAAAGAAAUACUUUUUAGGGAAUCUGCCA